rnacentral:misc_RNA from 1 species
UUAAGUUCAGCGGGUAGUCCUACCUGAUUUGAGGUCAAAUUGUCAUGUAUUGUCCAAAUGAACAGACGGUUAUAAGCAGUGCACAACCCAUUGCAGAUAUCCACGGCGUAGAUAAUUAUCACACCAAAUAGACAGUCCACGCGGGGCACCAGCUAAUGCAUUUAAGGGGAGCUGACCUCUGAAGAAGCCGGCAAAAGAGA